GACGAACGCUGGCGGCGUGCCUAAUACAUGCAAGUUGAGCGCUGAAGGAUGGUACUUGUACCAACUGGAUGAGCAGCGAACGGGUGAGUAACGCGUGGGGAAUCUGCCUUUGAGCGGGGGACAACAUUGGGAAACGAAUGCUAAUACCGCAUAAAAACUUUAAACACAAGAUUUAAGUUUGAAAGAUGCAAUUGCAUCACUCAAAGAUGAUCCCGCGUUGUAUUAGCUAGUUGGUGAGGUAAAGGCUCACCAAGGCGAUGAUACAUAGCCGACCUGAGAGGGUGAUCGGCCACAUUGGGACUGAGACACGGCCCAAACUCCUACGGGGGGCAGCAGUAGGGAAUCUUCGGCAAUGGACGAAAGUCUGACCGAGCACCGCCGCGUGAGUGAAGAAGGUUUUCGGAUCGUAAAACUCUGUUGGUAGAGAAGAACGUUGGUGAGAGUGGAAAGCUCAUCAAGUGACGGUAACUACCCAGAAAGGGACGGCUAACUACGUG
rnacentral:rRNA from 1 species